GUUUUAAUAAUUUAAAUAAAAUACUGGUCUUGUAAACCAAUCAUAAGAAAUUUUCUUUUAAAACA
rnacentral:tRNA from 1 species